AAUAAAAGUACAACACCAUAAUUUCUGCUAAUCAAUUUCCUUUUGAUCAUAGGUUACUAAUAAAAAAGCACCCUCAUUGCCAUCUCUGGUACGUUUUCCAAUCAAUCUCUGGAGAUAUUCAACUAUAUAAACCUCAAAAGGAGUUAUCUUCCAAUUUCCAAAGAGGACAUAUUGAGAAAAUAACCAGCAUCCAUCUUAGGGUGCAGUGACUGCGAAAUGGAAGUGUAUAAGUCUUUUAAAAGGAUACUUUGUUUAGUGGGCGCACUGUGCAACAUACGACGAUACGUUUUUAAUCUGAUUUACCGGGAAUUGGAGUCUUCGAGAUUUUCCCUACCUUCAUGGCGUGCUUACAAAAAAGUAACAAGCUUGCAUGGUAGAGAUUUGCGUGAAUGAGUAAUUACUUAUCAUAUAUUGGUUACUAAGCUUCUCAGAUUUUCCUUUAUGAAGCAUGAAUCUAUCCCACGGUGAUGGAUUACGUCUACAACAGUUGAGUGCCUUGGUUGCAAAUUCAAUUCAUGCAACUUUUUUUCUUUCGUUCUGUUUUCCUGGUUCAGGAUACACAACAAAUGUGCAACCAAAAUUGUGUAAACCCUGUCAUUAUUACAUUGUGUACAACAGUUGUUGCUUUGGACGUAAGUGUAAUUUCAUGUAACUCUUUUUCUUUCA